GGCUUCGUAGCUCAGCUGGUAGAGCGUGCGCUGUAAAAAUCAUAAGCGACAUCCAUUCGUAGGUUCGAAUCCCACCGAAGCUA
rnacentral:tRNA from 1 species